rnacentral:rRNA from 1 species
GACGAACGCUGGCGGCGUGCUUAACACAUGCAAGUCGAACGGAAAGGCCUCUUUCGGGGGGUACUCGAGUGGCGAACGGGUGAGUAACACGUGAGUAACCUGCCCUUGACUUUGGGAUAACUUCAGGAAACUGGGGCUAAUGCCGGAUAGGAGCUCCUGCUGCAUGGUGGGGGUUGGAAAGUUUCGGCGGUUGGGGAUGGACUCGCGGCUUAUCAGCUUGUUGGUGGGGUAGUGGCUUACCAAGGCUUUGACGGGUAGCCGGCCUGAGAGGGUGACCGGCCACAUUGGGACUGAGAUACGGCCCAGACUCCUACGGGAGGCAGCAGUGGGGAAUAUUGCACAAUGGGUGGAAGCCUGAUGCAGCAACGCCGUGUGCGGGAUGACGGCCUUCGGGUUGUAAACCGCUUUCGCUCAUGACGAAGCUUUGUGUGACGGUAGUGGGUAAAGAAGCACCGGCUAACUACGUG